UACAGAGGGUGCGAGCGUUGUCCGGAAUCACUGGGCGUAAAGGGCGCGUAGGCGGCCUGGUAAGUAGGGGGUGAAAUCUUGCGGCUCAACUGCAAGGCUGCCUCCUAAACUGCCGGGCUGGAGCACGGUAGAGGCAGAUGGAAUUCCCGGUGUAGCGGUGGAAUGCGUAGAGAUCUGCAAGAAUACCCGUGGCGAAGGCGGCCAGCUGGGCCGGUUCUGACGCUGAGGCGCGAAAGCGUGGGGAGCAAACAGG
rnacentral:rRNA from 1 species